GAUGAAGAACGCAGCGAAAUGCGAUAAGUAGUGUGAAUUGCAGAAUUCAGUGAAUCAUCGAAUCUUUGAACGCACAUUGCGCCCGCCAGCACUCUGGCGGGCAUGCCUGUCCGAGCGUCAUUUCAACCCUCGCGCCGUCCCUCCAGGGGGCUCGGCGCGGUGUUGGGGGACACGGCCCCGGCCGCCCCCGAAAUGCAGUGGCGACCCCGCCGCGGCCCCUCCAGCGCAGUAAGCACGCUCGCUACGGGAGGCCCGGUGGACGCGUCCGCCGUAAAACGCCCAACUCUUCAGAAGUUGACCUCGGAUCAGGUAGGGAUACCCGCUGAACUUAAGCAUAUCAAUAAGCGGAGGA
rnacentral:misc_RNA from 1 species